rnacentral:rRNA from 1 species
GCAACGAGCGCAACCCUCGUCGCUAGUAAUUCCCUAGCGAGACCGCCUCGCAAAACGAGGAGGAAGGCGGGGAUGGCGUCAAGUCAGCAUGGCCUUUAUACCCCUGGGCGACACACACGCUACAAUGGGUGGUACAGUAGGUAGCGAAAGGAGCGAUCCGGAGCAAAUCCUUAAAACCAUCCUCAGUACGGAUUGCAGGCUGAAACCCGCCUGCAUGAAGCCGGAGUUGCUAGUAACCGCAUAUCAGCAUGGUGCGGUGAAUACGUUCUCGGGCCUU